ACGAAGAAGAUCAGUGAGUCACCAGAGAAGAGUACAAAAACCAUUAUCUGCUUGAUAAGAAUUUCUGAAUGUAUGUUACAACUCGAUGACCGAUGAAAGAACCGACUUGCGUCAGCCACUGUUUUAUACUGGUCGUACGAAAGGGAUAUCUCUGCUUACAAAAACAAAUUUAUUGACACGGAUUUUUGUUUAAACGUGGAAGAAACAACGUCGCAUCGAUGUUUCAACUCGUGUUAUCUGCGUGCUUCUUUAUCGACGAUUUAUCAAGCUAAAUGGUGUACUUUUUUCAAGAACAUGGCACACGCACAGUUUCGACGUUUAAUUAAUGCCCGCGUGUUGAAAUUAAUCACUUGUUAUCUAACAGAUACGUGCCGGCCAGUGCGUAGUUCUUCGUCGGCUUCCACCUUCCACCCUCAAGCGUGCUUUCUUCGUGGAAGUCGUGUGCGUCAUUGAAACAGCACUACGUGCGUUAAAAACUGAACGGUGGAUGAAGGAAAUUUUCGAAACCAGCACUUUCCUCUAGCGUUCACGACGGGAAAAAAAAGGCGUGCGUCAACCAUAGAUAUUUAUUUAAAAAGAAGGGGGAAAAAAGAGAGACGAUAACCUAAAUGUUUCCCUAAAAAAGAGCUCAUAAAUCUUUUGGUGCGUUCGCUUGCCGGAAAUGAUAAAAAAAAUUACGGAACUUUGACGCCAUAAAAAAAUGUGCGAACUCUCACGAACAUUUCUUUUUGAGAAGAAUCUUCCAACAAAAUAAUAUUUCUUUUAAUUUUGGAACUUUUGCGUGUUCUUUUUUAAGAAUUAAAGAGGUAAUUGGUAAUUCUGGGAGAUCCAAUAAUAUAUCAUUGCUUCUUUGAAACAGACGUACCUGUGACGAACGAGUUUUACGACUCACAGGCGACAGGUAAAAGCAUUGGCAACUUCUUCCUAAUCACCGACGGACCAGUCGCCGGUUCUUUUUCGGAGAAUUUCUUUGCCGUUCGUGGAUGAUGCUGACGUCAUUAGGGACCUAUGAUAAACCAGCAGGCAAGUUCCCCAUAGCAAGAGGUCCAGUACGUGAUCACUGUCAUGCAGCGAGUUUUCGUGAACGUGUCCCUUAUAGUUCAACAUGUGUUUCAUAUUUUGACCAUGCACUUUUAAUAAGCAAAAGAACGUUACUAGGACAAGACGUUGGAUGUAAUUGAAGUAUAAUUUCUGAUACGUCCACGAUAUAACAAUUAUCUUACAAGCGUGAUAAAAUUAAACAAUCUACACCUGUUAUGAAAUCACGUUCACAGAUAUUUCCAAUAUAUUUUUGUGAUGUUUCGAGGUAGCUUUAGAAAAUCUUUAGUCCUAUGCAAUUGAAGAAUGAUUGAUGAGAAAGUAAAAGCUAGACGAAUCUUUCCAUGAUCUUGCGGAGAUCUCUUAUGGAGAUUGGAACUAGGAAUUUUUAAAUACAUUUUCAAACCCAUUAAAAUAUAAAAUGUUGUAUCAAAGAAGAUAAUGCAGGAAGAAAAAUAAGCUUGCGUCUGCGUGUUGUAGAAAACAAUUAUUCGGAUCUUGAAAGCUACGCUGCUGGAAAUCUAUGAAGAAUCUAAGAUAUACUCCAUAAAUUGGCCGUUAUGACCUAACCCCAUUUUGAUCGUCGCGUCAGUUCUAGCGGUAAGAAAUUGCAAUAGCAGAAAAAUGCAAGUUCACGAAGGUUUGCGACAUCUUCUCUGGAAAUAUUGAAGUCAUGUGCUUUCGCACCGAUGCAAUUAACACAUGAUUCAUCUGCAAAUUGAUUCUAAUGUAGGUACGUAGAAAUUGGUCGAUGAGACCAUGCGCGACUUAUUUUGAUUAGAAAUUGCAGCGGUAGUGCGCGUCCUGAGUACGCCAGAAACAAGAAAAUACUACAACGUUCGAGACUACUCGAGUUCAAUGGGAUGUACACACGGCGAUCACACGUAACUCCCUCGAUACAAUUACAUUUAAUUCAAGCCAUGAAAAUUCUGAAAGGAAUCUCACGGCCCGAUUACGUGACUGCUCCUAUGAACUCGCCUGAUUUGCUUCUCGGAAUACGCAACCUCUCGCAUCAGCCAACCGCAAAACCGAAACGUCACACAACCAUCCAGGCGAAAUUAUAGCGUUAAACAGCGAACGAUCAUCAACUAGAUGAACUCUUGAAUCGGCCAGUGAAAAAAUUCAAAGAGAUGGGAAAUUAUUUGUGAACACUGAUUAUAGGCUAUAUAUGCAACGAGUUUCAGUGGUACCUAAUAAAGAAACUCGAUCGAAGAUUAAAAUCGUCGAGUAUACGAGACUGCAAAAAAGAAAAAGAAGAAAAGAAAGAAAAAUAUUAUGCUGGUGCUCCGUUUCUUGUACAGUAUAAAUAGAGGAAAAUAACGUUAGAGAAACUCAAUAUUCGCGAACACCGUGUUAUUUAUUACGUUACAUUAUACGUUUAGACGACGCGAGCGGUAGGCAGCCAGCCAAAAGAGUAUUAUACUGCUUAUUUUCAAUGGAAAAUACGGGUUACCAACC